AACUUUAUAGUCAAUAAUGGCAUUAGAUUGCAAAUCUGAGGGAGUAAAAAUUUUACUAAAGUUU
rnacentral:tRNA from 1 species